UGGGGAAUCUUGCGCAAUGGGCGAAAGCCUGACGCAGCGACGCCGCGUGGGGGAAGAAGGCUUUCGGGUUGUAAACCCCUUUCAGGAGGGACGAAGCCACUCGGGUUAAUAGCCCAGAGGGUGACGGUACCUCCAGAAGAAGCCCCGGCUAACUACGUGCCAGCAGCCGCGGUAAUACGUAGGGGGCAAGCGUUGUCCGGAUUUAUUGGGCGUAAAGAGCGUGUAGGCGGUCAGGUAGGUCCGUUGUGAAAACUCGAGGCUCAACCUCGAGACGCCGAUGGAAACCAUCUGACUAGAGUCCGGAAGAGGAGAGUGGAAUUCCUGGUGUAGCGGUGAAAUGCGCAGAUAUCAGGAAGAACACCCGUGGCUAAGGCGGCUCUCUAGUACGGUACUGACGCUGAGACGCGAAAGCGUGGGGAGCGAACAGG
rnacentral:rRNA from 1 species